UGCACACAAGAGAAACCCUUUGUUGAACUUGUGUGUUUCACAAACCUAUUGCUUGCCUUGGCUAAAGCAAAAUGUGCCUUCUGAUGGAGUUUGUACAAUGAGAACAUGGUAUCACACAAUUUCUUAUGCACAGAGAUGGUACUCCCCCACAUACAUAGAUACAAAAAUGUCCCAAAUCCAUUGUGAAUACAUGUAAACCUGAACUAGCACCCUUUUCAACCAAACAAUCAAUGCUUGUGCAUUUUGAUGAACAUGAAUGCUUAUGCUUACAGGAAAAACAAAUCUAGAAAAGUAUUUUGCCUUUGCCUUUUUAGCUGCUCACAUCCUUGGGCUAGCAGAUGGGCUCAGCCCCCAACAAACAUCAGGCUACUGUAAGGAAAAUUCUCUUUAGCACCAUCAAUUAAUUUUUCCUUUAUUGUUGGUGCAAAACACACCCCACAGAUCCCUUUCCUUGUGAAAUUUGGGGCCUAAUCAAAAAUAUUUGGCAACAUUGCAAAAAGGAAAAGGGAACAAACCUGUUGUUGAACCCACAGGGGGAAAAAACCUUAU